rnacentral:lncRNA from 1 species
GUGGGAACAACAAGAUGCCACUAGCCAUGGUUUAUUGAACAAACAAAAGAAGCUAUACUUGCAGGUGCACAAGAAAAGCUAGGUGGAUUCUCAAGUAACUUCUUAGUAACAAGAGGUUUGGAUUCUGGUUUUCAGUUCACUUGAGUGCUAGGAGGUUUUCAGUACUAAUGGAACCUGAUAAUUUUAGCCAAAAGUCAAAUCCCAAAAAAUGUAAAGCAGAGCCGAGCUUUUACUCUCCAUCCAUUCCUGUGGCACAUAUCUACCCAGAAUAUACUGAAAGCACCUGCAAGUGGGAAAAGCUUCCGACUAGGGGUCACUCACAAGGGAACAUGCUGAGUACCUGGCUCUAUCUGAAGAACCAGUGA